AGAGAUGGUAAUUUGUCAGUCAGCUGAGGAAGGCAGGUCUGCCCUCAGCUAUGAGGGUGGGCAGCACCCAGCCCAAUUGCAGACCCAGACACGGGAGGUUCCUCUGUCUUCUUGGGCUGGGGCGUCCAUCUCCUCCUGCCCACAGACACAGGAGUUUCUGGUUCCCAGGCCUUGCACUCUGGGAGUGACACCAGCGGUUCCUCAAGUCUCAGGCCUUUGGGCUUGGACUGAAUGACACCACCGGCUGUUCUGGUUCACUGGCUUAGGGACAGCAGUUUGUGGGACUUCUCAGCCUCCGUGAUCAAGGAGCUGAUUCCUAUAAUAAAUCUCCUAAACAUAUCUCCCAGCGGCUCUCUUCCUCUGGAGAACCCUGACUCACAUACGGGGGCCUAGAGGUUUGGUUAUAGCAGGCCCGGGGCCCUGUUCCAGCACCUGGCAGUACCCCCAGCUGAUGGGCCCCAGCGGGGGAGGGACAGCCGGCCUGAGGGAGGUGCCUCCUGGGCCCUACCGUGGGCUCCCGUGCAGACAGGCAGGGUGGGGAGCAGGGACAAGGCUGUCCCCUCCUCUGGCCUCCGCCUACAGGUGGGACUUCUUCCCAGCCCUUUCUGUGGGUGGGGGGUGCACACGGGCAGGCCAGCCCCAGGCGCCCUCAGGACCACACCCGAGGCCUGCCCUUGGGGGAGUGGGGAUGGGGCUGGGGCCUCACCUUGCUCAGGACCCAAUCCAGGUGCAGCUGCGCUCCUGGCUUUUCUCCUGCAGGACAGAGGGGCCUGGAGUGGCCUGACCCUGCCGUGGGCAGCAUGGGCCCAGACUGACCACUCUGUUCCCAUACCUGGCUCAAGGUGGGUCGGGGGCCUUCCCAGCCUUCUCAGAGCUAACCCAGAGGAGUGCACAGGACAGCUCGUCUCCCCCGAGAGCCACAGGGAAUGCUGGACCUGCCUGAGCAGGGGGCAUAUGGGGCUCAGCACAGCACUGUGGGGCCAGGAUGGGAAGCCCCUGGUCUCUUCUGCCCCUCUUUGACCUUGAGGACUGGAACCUUGGGGAGCCUUGGGUGAGGUCCCCUCCCAGGAAAUCCUGAGCUGAGACAUCGCGGGCCCAUUUUGAGGUGGCUGUGAGGGGGUACGGGUGAGUGUACUUGGGGUUCCUUCAAGGCCAGGCCCAGCAGGUCACCUGCGGAAGGCCUUGGGCAGGUGCCCCUCCCUGUCCUGGAGCACCAUUCUUCCCCAUCGCCCCAGAGGACCAGGCCCAGGCAA
rnacentral:lncRNA from 1 species